rnacentral:rRNA from 1 species
AGAAUCAACGCUGGCGGCGUGCCUAACACAUGCAAGUCGAACGAGAAAGUGGAGCAAUCCAUGAGUAAAGUGGCGCACGGGUGAGUAACACGUGACUAACCUACCCUUGAGUGGGGGAUAACCUAAGGGAAACCUGGGCUAAUACCGCAUAAUACCUUCGGGUCAAAAGGAGCAAUUCGCUUAAGGAGGGGGUCGCGGCCGAUUAGUUAGUUGGCGGGGUAAUGGCCCACCAAGACUGUGAUCGGUAU